rnacentral:rRNA from 1 species
UACGGAGGGUGCAAGCGUUAUCCGGAUUCACUGGGUUUAAAGGGUGCGUAGGUGGGCUAGUAAGUCCGUGGUGAAAUCCCCGAGCUUAACUCGGGAACUGCCGUGGAUACUAUUAGUCUUGAAUAUCGUGGAGGUAAGCGGAAUAUGUCAUGUAGCGGUGAAAUGCUUAGAUAUGACAUAGAACACCGAUAGCGGAGGCAGCUUACUACGCGAUUAUUGACGCUGAGGCACGAAAGCGUGGGGAUCAAACAGG